rnacentral:rRNA from 1 species
UACGUAGGGUGCGAGCGUUAAUCGGAAUUACUGGGCGUAAAGCGUGCGCAGGCGGCUUUGCAAGACAGAUGUGAAAUUCCCGGGCUCAACCUGGGAACUGCAUUUGUGACUGCAAGGCUAGAGUACGGCAGAGGGGGAUGGAAUUCCGCGUGUAGCAGUGAAAUGCGUAGAUAUGCGGAGGAACACCAAUGGCGAAGGCAAUCCCCUGGGCCUGUACUGACGCUCAUGCACGAAAGCGUGGGGAGCAAACAGG